UACGAAGGGGGCUAGCGUUGUUCGGAUUUACUGGGCGUAAAGCGCACGUAGGCGGAUCGUUAAGUCAGGGGUGAAAUCCUGGGGCUCAACCCCAGAACUGCCUUUGAUACUGGCAAUCUCGAGUCCGGAAGAGGUGAGUGGAACUCCUAGUGUAGAGGUGGAAUUCGUAGAUAUUAGGAAGAACACCAGUGGCGAAGGCGGCUCACUGGUCCGGUACUGACGCUGAGGUGCGAAAGCGUGGGGAGCAAACAGG
rnacentral:rRNA from 1 species